GAGUAUAUAGUUCAGUGGUAAAGCACAUGUUUAGCAUGCAUGGGGUCCUGGGUUCAAUCCCCAGUAUCUCU
rnacentral:tRNA from 1 species